rnacentral:sRNA from 1 species
UGGAUUUAGGGGGUGGGCCAAAUGUCACUGUGAAAAUGUCUCAACGAGCAAAUUUUAGGAACGUCAAGAAAAACAUUCAACGAUCACAAAACCGGCGAAUGCUGCAAAAUGCGAAUCAAGAACAUUUAACCAUCUAAAUAAAUGAAUUCAAUUUAAUUGAAACAAAUUUCGCGGAAAUGCAACAAAUCAACUUAAAAAUGAACUGAACAACAUAAACAUUUCGAAAAACAACGCAAAAUUCUAAAAUUGGCAACAUAAGUUUUGGUCUUGAAUUAAACGCAACAAAAAUAUAAAUCAACAAAAAACGAUUUUUGGCAACAAAACAGCAUAAUAACAUACACAAAUUGUAAUUAUCUCAAAACGUCCACACGUGAAAAUGUUUUGCAAC